rnacentral:rRNA from 1 species
AUGGUCCGGAGUAAGAUCACGUACUACACAAUACUCACGUCGGAGUGCUACGUCGAGAUCAUGCAGGAGAUCUGGGCGAGACAAGCCACGCGUGCAGCCCGCAUCGCUACCGGGCUGCCUCCGGACUCGCCGGAGCCGGAGCAGGAGGAGCUGGAGCCACGAGUAUUUCACGGAAAGCCGACAAGGAAUUCCGUUAAUAACCGACCGUUUUGA